UACAAAUCGUGUUUAAUAAAGAAUUGUAUACAAUGUAAAACACGUGUUAUCUAUUCUCCUAUCCUCGUUACUUCUGUCGUGAACCAGCGCUCCGUCAUUCUUACGAUCCUCGAAUCACUGCGGGUAAAAUGGAUCAGAUAAACCUGGGAGAAGAAUGGGUCGUUCGACGCGAACAGUUACGGAGAAUUAGCCCGUUAACGUAGCGGAUUAACAUUAUACAACGCGAACCCGUUUAAAUCCCCUGCGUGUGACAUCUGCUCGCACUCAGUCCGAGCAUUGUUCCGAUAAACAAGCCACCUGAACACGUUCUUUAAUUGAAUCUUAUAUACAGUUAUCCCAUGUUCCUCGUAGCACUUCACCACCGGAAGCUGCCUUUUUCGGGUGAACUGGUCAAAUCUGACGAGUCUCGGUCGCGUAGGAGUGGCCUCGCGUGAAGUAGCACGGUUUUUCGACUCGUUUAGGAUUGUAAAGGAAGAAAGCGAACGUGUCGGAGAAAUAAUCGGCUGACGUGCUCGCGAGGAAGUGGCUGAGCCUACUCGUAUCGACACGAAUCUCCACUUUCGAGGCAGCAGCAGCGGUAUCGAACGCGAGAACGGUGUUACCGCGGUCGGAACGGGAGAAUCGUGGGAACGAAGGGGAGGAUGAGUCCGACGGGAGUAGAAGAAGAAUAGGAUCUGGAAGAAGGUGAAAGAAAUACGUGGCUACGGUAAGGAGAAGGUCUGCUCGGGUGCAGGCAACGAGGAUAUCGCGAUCGCGGAUAGCAAAGACACGGACGGAGUUCGCAAAUAGCUCCCCGAGCGAAAGAAGGGAUAUCCGAGUCCCCACUAUUAAAUGGCUCGACUCAGACGCGGAAAGGAGAAGCUACAUCGGGGGCGGUAGAACACCAUCCAGCCUCAGUACAAUUUAGACACUCGCCUGAAUCAUCGCUAAAGGGUGAUUCUUCCUGUUUGGUUUAACAGAACGAGACUACGUCAAACGUGAAGAGAAUUCAGAGGGUCUCGUGCAGGUUUUUUUUUUAUUACGAAUCAUCGAUGAAAAGGAUGAGAAGUUCUUCGGUGUAUUUCGAGGGACGAGUUUACGGUCGAGAUUAACCAAGUGGAUAAUAGACGACAGAAGUUCUCCAGUGCGUAUCAUCUUCUUGCAGUCUCGACCGCAGACGAUCGGAAGACGGUUCACCGUCAAAAGAACAAAGAGGCGAAUUCUGAAAAACCAGAACAAAGCGCUCUGAUUCCCAUUUUCGUGGAAAAAGAACACCGAACGGUGAAUUCUAGUUGAACAACGAACCCGCUCAAAUUGAACGUUUCCUGUGAUUCUUACCGAGGCACGAGCAUGCGAGGCUCCUUCAAAGACACGCAAUGACACAAAACGCGUGUCCGUCGCUCCGCCGAUCGGAUCCGCGCAGGAGAGCAUCGAGCCGGAAAUCUGCCACCGGAUCACGAAUGAUCAUUUCCAUUCGGACGAAACAGGGUUGCGAACAGACGGUCAAAGAAAACGACUAUCGCCAGUCGUACAGCGGCUCUUCACUCGAUCGAUUCUAAGAUCGUUUCUAAGAAGAUUUCCCAUUGGAAAGUUUUCGUUUAAGCUCGUAAUGACGGUGAUUAGUUUCCGUAAUUGCGAGUAAUCAUCGUUGACCAUUUCGGGAAGGUUAACAGCGAAGACGGUGAAAGCGCGUUGCAAGGAUUCGGAGUGGAAAAAGGGUUGAUAGGUUUAUCCUGUGACGCGUGAAACAAAGUCGUACGGCGGAAGCUCGUUCGCUCCGAGCCAUAAAUAAGAAGAGUUUAGCGGAUCUCCGCGUUACGAGGUGAAGAAGAUUGUAGAAAGUCAACAGGCAGGAAAUAGAACUCGUUUUAUCAUCGACGAAACGACUUCAUCGUCCAGAGAAACGGCAGGCAGCACUUGUAAAAUUGUCCAGCGGAUAAAUCGACACAAUACGGAAGGCCCGAAUGGGAUAAGACUGAAACGAGUUCGACAUUACCUUGGCGAAGGAAUCGGAAACGAGUAAUGGUCACUCGGCUCGAAGUAGCAUGCGUCGCUGAAAUGGUCUGGUGACAGCGAGGUCGACAGGCGUCGUUUGGCAGCAGAUGGGAAAGG